rnacentral:lncRNA from 10 species
ACCAACAUGGUGAAACCCUGUCUCUACUAAAAAUACAAAAAAAUUAGCUGGGCGUGGUGGUGCAUGCCUGUUAUCCCAGCUACUUGGGAGGCUGAGGCAGGAAAACUGCUUGAACCCAGGAGAUGGAGGUUGCAGCGAGCCAAGAUCACACCACUGUACUCCAGCCUGGGAGACAGAGCAAGACUCUGUCUCAAAAGGAAAAAAAAAAAAAGCAUCAGUAAUAACAACUCACUUUGAAGCCUUCCACCUAAGCGACUGGUAUUUUUCUUAAGAGCAGGUGAUGGUGAUGCUGCUGCUCCAGGUGCCA